rnacentral:rRNA from 1 species
AAUGCUUGGGAACAUGCCUUGAGGUGGGGGACAACAGUUGGAAACGACUGCUAAUACCGCAUAAUGUCUACGGACCAAAGGGGGCUUCGGCUCUCGCCUUUAGAUUGGCCCAAGUGGGAUUAGCUAGUUGGUGAGGUAAUGGCUCACCAAGGCGACGAUCCCUAGCUGGUUUGAGAGGAUGAUCAGCCACACUGGGACUGAGACACGGCCCAGACUCCUACGGGAGGCAGCAGUGGGGAAUAUUGCACAAUGGGCGCAAGCCUGAUGCAGCCAUGCCGCGUGUGUGAAGAAGGCCUUCGGGUUGUAAAGCACUUUCAGUCAGGAGGAAAGGUUAGUGGUUAAUACCCGUUAGCUGUGACGUUACUGACAGAAGAAGCACCGGCUAACUCCGUGCCAGCAGCCGCGGUAAUACGGAGGGUGCGAGCGUUAAUCGGAAUUACUGGGCGUAAAGCGUACGCAGGCGGUUUGUUAAGCGAGAUGUGAAAGCCCCGGGCUCAACCUGGGAACUGCAUUUCGAACUGGCAAACUAGAGUGUGAUAGAGGGUGGUAGAAUUUCAGGUGUAGCGGUGAAAUGCGUAGAGAUCUGAAGGAAUACCGAUGGCGAAGGCAGCCACCUGGGUCAACACUGACGCUCAUGUACGAAAGCGUGGGGAGCAAACGGGAUUAGAUACCCCGGUAGUCCACG